rnacentral:rRNA from 1 species
GAGGAAUAUUGGGCAAUGGAGGCAACUCUGACCCAGCCAUGCCGCGUGCAGGAAGACGGUCCUAUGGAUUGUAAACUGCUUUUGUACGAGAAGAAACAUCCCGACGUGUCGGGACUUGACGGUAUCGUAAGAAUAAGGAUCGGCUAACUCCGUGCCAGCAGCCGCGGUAAUACGGAGGAUCCAAGCGUUAUCCGGAAUCAUUGGGUUUAAAGGGUCCGUAGGCGGUCUUAUAAGUCAGUGGUGAAAUCUCCUAGCUCAACUAGGAAACUGCCAUUGAUACUGUAAGACUUGAAUGUUUGUGAAGUAACUAGAAUAUGUAGUGUAGCGGUGAAAUGCUUAGAUAUUACAUGGAAUACCAAUUGCGAAGGCAGGUUACUAACAGAUGAUUGACGCUGAUGGACGAAAGCGUGGGGAGCGAAC